UACGGGAGGCAGCAGUGGGGAAUAUUGCACAAUGGGCGCAAGCCUGAUGCAGCCAUGUCGCGUGUAUGAAGAAGGCCUUCGGGUUGUAAAGUACUUUCAGUCGUGAGGAAGGUGUUAAGGUUAAUAACCUUAGCAAUUGACGUUAGCGACAGAAGAAGCACCGGCUAACUCCGUGCCAGCAGCCGCGGUAAUACGGAGGGUGCGAGCGUUAAUCGGAAUUACUGGGCGUAAAGGGCACGCAGGCGGUUAAUUAAGUUGGAUGUGAAAUCCCCGGGCUUAACCUGGGAAUGGCAUUCAAGACUGGUUAGCUAGAGUCUUGUAGAGGGGGUAGAAUUCCAUGUGUAGCGGUGAAAUGCGUAGAGAUGUGGAGGAAUACCGGUGGCGAAGGCGGCCCCUGGACAAAGGCUGACGCUCAUGUGCGAAAGCGUGGGGAGCAAAC
rnacentral:rRNA from 1 species